CUCACAAAUCCCAUCUGUCAGACAAAGUACAUAGUUUCCUCCUUGCUUUUUCAUGCAUCAACAACAGACGACGUAAAAAUUCCAAUCACGUUUUUACAAUUUGCUUGAUUUCAGUAAACGAUAAAUACCAACGAUAACUUUUCUUGACGAGAAAAACAGGCGAAAGCAGCAACCAGGCAAAUGUUUCAAUCGAUAUCUUCACCAUUUUGCUGUUAUCAUAAUUACCACUAUCAUUUAUCCACCACCAUCAAUUAUACUCACCACUUUUAUAGUCUUAACAAUCAUCAUUAUUUAUACCAUCAUAACCGCCCUAAGUAACAAAACCACGACCUUAACUAUUAGCAUUUUUAACACGAUUGUCACUAUCACCUCUAUCAUCAACACCAUCACAAACACCAAUAUAACAAAAAUCACAAUAUUGCAAUAAUAACCAACCACUAUCAUACACUGCUAUCUUAAUCAUCAUCACGACCACAGUCAUCGUCGCAAUUUUCACCAUCAUCAUCAUGACAUAACCAACAUCACCAUCAGUAAUAUUACGGUACUAUCAUUUCUAGAUCACCACCUAUGAUCAUUACCACCAUCACCAACACCAUCAUGCGACUGACUAAUCUUUUUUCAGAAGCAUUCCAUCUCACGGUCAUGAUCUCAUGCAAGGUAAGAAAAAGCUUUGUUUCCUACAUGAUACUUGACCAAUGGUCAGAACCUGUAACCCCGGGUAGGGAGGCGAGGGAGUACUAUCACUUGCCCAAGGUGAACUCCCUGACAAGCGGAGGGAAGGAGGUAUCUUACUUCUCCAUUCUAGACUGGCUCCAAGCAAAGUCUAGCCGCUGCCCAGAAACAUCGUUAUUUAAACGUCCUUGUUGAAAAAACCUUUUCAUCAUCGUUCAGUGCGUAAUAUACGGUAUAUUAAACGUUCAUACGUUGAAAUCGAUGAAGACGCCAUUCUCGUAUUUAGCAAGCUUGUUCUUCGUAAAGUACAAAACUCAGACUUAACAAUCCGCGCCUAUUAUACCCGUGAACUGAAUGGCCACCUGUCAGCUGCCUCACGUUUCAUGCGGGACAACAAAGGGUCUUGUGGAAUACACAGUCGAAGAAACUCCAUAUUGCCAUUCAUCGUGGAAACUCGAAACUCCAUAUUGCCAUUCAACGUCUAACUUCGAGCUCCGCUAAAUUUUAACAUUGUUGUGUUAAAUCUUGGCUCAAUCUUUACGCGAUCUGUUACAAAUUUACUGAAAUUAGCGGCUAUUAAACUUGUUUAUUCUUAAACAAGCUUAAAUCCCUACAAAAAAAAAACUAAUUGGUUGAGAAAAUUUAGACGAUUCGUCGAAUACAUUCACGUGUAAAUCGAUAUCAGCCGAAAUGAAUCAAGAAAUCAAAGGAGGAAGUCUUAUACACAACUUGUGUCUUAAUAGCAAGGGGAAAAUAUUAUGGACAGGGUCAUUUGAGGAACUACAAGCUUUCGUAGAAGAAACGUUGAACUUAACGGGCGGGAAAUGGCUCUCCCCUGGAGGCGAUGCUAAACUGUACCAAAAUCAAGCGACAGCAAUUAAGUGGUAUGGAAACUCAAAAAC